rnacentral:lncRNA from 1 species
UGAAGGACAAAGAGCUCAUGCAUAUUACCACGUCUAGAAUAUCUAUCACUGCACUUAUGUCAGAGUGUGUCCAAACGCUGGACUAAACUUUGGAAUAAUUUAAUGUUAAAAUGGCCUUUCUAUAUGAUCAUUGGACUUGUUAGACUUGCUGGGCUAAGGGCUAAUAAGCAGUAAGAUGUUCCAGAUGCCCAUGCAGAAGAAUCAGUCGUUGACUGGUUAAUUCAUGGGUUAAUACCAAGAAAAACCCCAAACUAGUACACCAACAUAAAUUAAACGGAGAUUCAAUUUGUAACAAAUGUACCGGUUUGAGGUUUUUGAUGGUCAAAAAAUUAAUUUGGGAUAACUUUGUUAUAGGCGUACUGGUUUGAGGUUAACAAAUGUACUGGUUUGAGGUUUUUGGUGGUCAAAAAAUUAAUUUG